AUUGAACGCUGGUGGCAGGCCUAACACAUGCAAGUCGAACGAGUGGCGGACGGGUGAGUAAUGUCUGGGAAACUGCCCGAUGGAGGGGGAUAACUACUGGAAACGGUAGCUAAUACCGCAUACCAUCGGAUGUGCCCAGAUGGGAUUAGCUAGUAGGUGGGGUAACGGCUCACCUAGGCGACGAUCCCUAGCUGGUCUGAGAGGAUGACCAGCCACACUGGAACUGAGACACGAGCCAUACUCCUACGGGAGGCAGCAGUGAGGAAUAUUGCACAAUGGGCGAAAACCGUAUGCAGCCAUGCCGCGUGUAUGAAGAAGGCCUUCGGGUUGUAAAAUACUUUCAGCGAGGAGGCGUUACUCGCAGAAGAGGCACCGGCUAACUCCGUACCAGCAGCCGCGGUAAUAC
rnacentral:rRNA from 1 species